AGGCUACUGACUGCUUAUUGCACCACAUGUGUUUUUUAUUGAACAAAUUUCUUUGGUGGCGGGAGCAAUCCUACCGCCAGAGGUUAUAACUAAACCAAACUUUUUAUUUACAGUCAAACUUGAUUUAUUAUUACAAUAGUCAAAACUUUCAACAACGGAUCUCUUGGUUCUCGCAUCGAUGAAGAACGCAGCGAAAUGCGAUACGUAAUAUGAAUUGCAGAUAUUCGUGAAUCAUCGAAUCUUUGAACGCACAUUGCGCCCUUUGGUAUUCCAAAGGGCAUGCCUGUUUGAGCGUCAUUUCUCCCUCAAACCCCCGGGUUUGGUGUUGAGCAAUACGCUAGGUUUGUUUGAAAGAAUUUAACGUGGAAACUUAUUUUAAGCGACUUAGGUUUAUCCAAAAACGCUUAUUUUGCUAGUGGCCACCACAAUUUAUUUCAUAACUUUGACCUCAAAUCAGGUAGGACUACCCGCUGAACUUAAGCAUAUCAUAAGCCGAAGGAA
rnacentral:rRNA from 1 species